AAAACAUUUCACAAACUAGAAGAAGCCUAGAAUUUCUAUUGACUCUCAAAUCAGUAGUAGUAAAAUUUGUAUACCUUAUACAUUGACUUGUAGAAGAAACUUACUCUGCUUUGCACUUGCAGUAAAUUCUUUAAGUUGUUACACCAUUCUUCAUCUAAGAAUGGAAUGUAAAUUAUGCUUUAACCCUAUUCCAUUAAAAUUU
rnacentral:misc_RNA from 1 species